rnacentral:rRNA from 1 species
UGGUGAAAUCCUGCAGCUAACUGUAGAAUGCCAUUGAUACUGGUUUCCUUGAGUGUAGUUGAAGUGGCGAAUGUGUAUUGUAGCGGUGAAAUGCUUAGAUAUUACACAGAACACCUAUUGCGAAGGCAGCUCACUUAAACUAAUACUGACGCUGAGGCACGAAAGCGUGGGGAGCAAACAGGAUUAGAUACCCUGGUAGUCCACGCCGUAAACGUUGAUUACUCGAUGUGUGCGAUACACUGUACGCGUCUGAGCGAAAGCAUUAAGUAAUCCACCUGGGGAGUACGAUCGCAAGAUUGAAACUCAAAGGAAUUGACGGGGGCCCGCACAAGCGGAGGAACAUGUGGUUUAAUUCGAUGAUACGCGAGGAACCUUACCUGGGCUUAAAUGCAGACUGAUUUCCGCCGAAAGGUGGUUUCCCUUCGGGGCAGACUGCAAGGUGCUGCAUGGUUGUCGUCAGCUCGUGCCGUGAGGUGUCGGGUUAAGUCCCAUAACGAGCGCAACCCCUAUCGUUAGUUGCCAGCGAGUAAUGUCGGGGACUCUAGCGAAACUGCCGGUGUAAACCGUGAGGAAGGUGGGGAUGACGUCAAAUCAGCACGGCCCUUAUGUCCAGGGCUACACACGUGUUACAAUGGCCGGUACAGAGGGCAGCUACCUGGUAACAGGUUGCAAUCUCGAAACCGGUCUUAGUUCGGAUCGGAGU